rnacentral:lncRNA from 1 species
GAAGUGUGCCUUAGCAAGUUCCUUAGUCCUUCCUUCAAGAUUGUCUUCUUGAUCCUUCUUGAAGUAUGGAUUUCACAACAACAAUAAUAUCACAAUAACAAAAGUUGGUGUAUGGCUUUCCACAAGAAUAUCACACAAGACCAAAUAUUGGAAUGGUUUUCCACAAGAAUUUGCAAGACAACAAUGGAGUUUCUCUUGAUCCAAUGGGAGGAAGAAGAGAUUAUGUCUUGCAAUAAUGUGGGAACCAUAACCCCCACU